rnacentral:rRNA from 1 species
GGGUUGUGAGGUUAAGCGACUAAGCGUACACGGUGGAUGCCCUGGCAGUCAGAGGCGAUGAAGGACGUGCUAAUCUGCGAUAAGCGUCGGUAAGGUGAUAUGAACCGUUAUAACCGGCGAUUUCCGAAUGGGGAAACCCAGUGUGAUUCGUCACACUAUCAUUAACUGAAUCCAUAGGUUAAUGAGGCGAACCGGGGGAACUGAAACAUCUAAGUACCCCGAGGAAAAGAAAUCAACCGAGAUUCCCCCAGUAGCGGCGAGCGAACGGGGAGCAGCCCAGAGCCUGAAUCAGUGUGUGUGUUAGUGGAAGCGUCUGGAAAGGCGCGCGAUACAGGGUGACAGCCCCGUACACAAAAAUGCACAUACUGUGAGCUCGAUGAGUAGGGCGGGACACGUGGUAUCCUGUCUGAAUAUGGGGGGACCAUCCUCCAAGGCUAAAUACUCCUGACUGACCGAUAGUGAACCAGUACCGUGAGGGAAAGGCGAAAAGAACCCCGGCGAGGGGAGUGAAAAAGAACCUGAAACCGUGUACGUACAAGCAGUGGGAGCACGCUUAGGCGUGUGACUGCGUACCUUUUGUAUAAUGGGUCAGCGACUUAUAUUCUGUAGCAAGGUUAACCGAAUAGGGGAGCCGAAGGGAAACCGAGUCUUAACUGGGCGUUAAGUUGCAGGGUAUAGACCCGAAACCCGGUGAUCUAGCCAUGGGCAGGUUGAAGGUUGGGUAACACUAACUGGAGGACCGAACCGACUAAUGUUGAAAAAUUAGCGGAUGACUUGUGGCUGGGGGUGAAAGGCCAAUCAAACCGGGAGAUAGCUGGUUCUCCCCGAAAGCUAUUUAGGUAGCGCCUCGUGAAUUCAUCUCCGGGGGUAGAGCACUGUUUCGGCAAGGGGGUCAUCCCGACUUACCAACCCGAUGCAAACUGCGAAUACCGGAGAAUGUUAUCACGGGAGACACACGGCGGGUGCUAACGUCCGUCGUGAAGAGGGAAACAACCCAGACCGCCAGCUAAGGUCCCAAAGUCAUGGUUAAGUGGGAAACGAUGUGGGAAGGCCCAGACAGCCAGGAUGUUGGCUUAGAAGCAGCCAUCAUUUAAAGAAAGCGUAAUAGCUCACUGGUCGAGUCGGCCUGCGCGGAAGAUGUAACGGGGCUAAACCAUGCACCGAAGCUGCGGCAGCGACGCUGAUGCGUUGUUGGGUAGGGGAGCGUUCUGUAAGCCUGCGAAGGUGUGCUGUGAGGCAUGCUGGAGGUAUCAGAAGUGCGAAUGCUGACAUAAGUAACGAUAAAGCGGGUGAAAAGCCCGCUCGCCGGAAGACCAAGGGUUCCUGUCCAACGUUAAUCGGGGCAGGGUGAGUCGACCCCUAAGGCGAGGCCGAAAGGCGUAGUCGAUGGGAAACAGGUUAAUAUUCCUGUACUUGGUGUUACUGCGAAGGGGGGACGGAGAAGGCUAUGUUGGCCGGGCGACGGUUGUCCCGGUUUAAGCGUGUAGGCUGGUUUUCCAGGCAAAUCCGGAAAAUCAAGGCUGAGGCGUGAUGACGAGGCACUACGGUGCUGAAGCAACAAAUGCCCUGCUUCCAGGAAAAGCCUCUAAGCAUCAGGUAACAUCAAAUCGUACCCCAAACCGACACAGGUGGUCAGGUAGAGAAUACCAAGGCGCUUGAGAGAACUCGGGUGAAGGAACUAGGCAAAAUGGUGCCGUAACUUCGGGAGAAGGCACGCUGAUAUGUAGGUGAAGUCCCUUGCGGAUGGAGCUGAAAUCAGUCGAAGAUACCAGCUGGCUGCAACUGUUUAUUAAAAACACAGCACUGUGCAAACACGAAAGUGGACGUAUACGGUGUGACGCCUGCCCGGUGCCGGAAGGUUAAUUGAUGGGGUCAGCGCAAGCGAAGCUCUUGAUCGAAGCCCCGGUAAACGGCGGCCGUAACUAUAACGGUCCUAAGGUAGCGAAAUUCCUUGUCGGGUAAGUUCCGACCUGCACGAAUGGCGUAAUGAUGGCCAGGCUGUCUCCACCCGAGACUCAGUGAAAUUGAACUCGCUGUGAAGAUGCAGUGUACCCGCGGCAAGACGGAAAGACCCCGUGAACCUUUACUAUAGCUUGACACUGAACAUUGAGCCUUGAUGUGUAGGAUAGGUGGGAGGCUUAGAAGUGUGGACGCCAGUCUGCAUGGAGCCGACCUUGAAAUACCACCCUUUAAUGUUUGAUGUUCUAACGUUGACCCGUAAUCCGGGUUGCGGACAGUGUCUGGUGGGUAGUUUGACUGGGGCGGUCUCCUCCUAAAGAGUAACGGAGGAGCACGAAGGUUGGCUAAUCCUGGUCGGACAUCAGGAGGUUAGUGCAAUGGCAUAAGCCAGCUUGACUGCGAGCGUGACGGCGCGAGCAGGUGCGAAAGCAGGUCAUAGUGAUCCGGUGGUUCUGAAUGGAAGGGCCAUCGCUCAACGGAUAAAAGGUACUCCGGGGAUAACAGGCUGAUACCGCCCAAGAGUUCAUAUCGACGGCGGUGUUUGGCACCUCGAUGUCGGCUCAUCACAUCCUGGGGCUGAAGUAGGUCCCAAGGGUAUGGCUGUUCGCCAUUUAAAGUGGUACGCGAGCUGGGUUUAGAACGUCGUGAGACAGUUCGGUCCCUAUCUGCCGUGGGCGCUGGAGAACUGAGGGGGGCUGCUCCUAGUACGAGAGGACCGGAGUGGACGCAUCACUGGUGUUCGGGUUGUCAUGCCAAUGGCACUGCCCGGUAGCUAAAUGCGGAAGAGAUAAGUGCUGAAAGCAUCUAAGCACGAAACUUGCCCCGAGAUGAGUUCUCCCUGACUCCUUGAGAGUCCUGAAGGAACGUUGAAGACGACGACGUUGAUAGGCCGGGUGUGUAAGCGCAGCGAUGCGUUGAGCUAACCGGUACUAAUGAACCGUGAGGCUUAACCUUACAACGCCGAAGGUGUUU